AACCUGAGGUGUUCGAUAAUCUCGAUUUUUUGAACCUACAUUACUUUAAACGGGAUUCUUAUAUCUCUGUAAUAUGUCAGGCCUCCAUUACGCAGUGGAAGACAGAAAAGCAGAUGCGGUUGCCCACCUAGCACUAGCUAGGAGUCAAAAAACGAGAAACGGCAUUUCGGGGGA
rnacentral:other from 1 species